rnacentral:lncRNA from 1 species
ACAUGCUCUCAUGUUUUGAAUGUGCUGUUUUUCCCAUUUGCUGAAGAAGCCAACUUUGUUGAUACUAAGAAAAGAAACGAGUAGCUCAAGCCUCCCUUUAGGCUGAAUGCAGGUAUAGUUAAUGCAGGAAUACAUUCAAUGGAUAGUGUUUGUCUAAAACUAAAAAAAGAAAAAAAUCCCCCAGAACGCUGUACAUGAGCACUAGGAAAGAAAUCUGCAUGGAUGACUCUUCCUAAGAGCUGCAAAUAUUGUAGGGACUGGUGAGAAGAGGACUGGAGGAUAUAACAUGAACUGCCUACAUCAAUCUAAAGCCUGGAAAGUUUUUAAUGGUUUUAAUGUGAAAACACUCCUGUUGUGAGGCCCUAAAGAACUCCUCCUAGAAAAGUGCAACCAAAGAAUAACCAAAAAUGAUGAUAAUUCAAUGUGAUGUAAGCAAUGCCACAGUUGAAGACUGCUCUCCAGAAGAGACCAAAAUCACAGCAGUGUUUGCUAACAAGGCUAUAACUUCACAUGAUUGGCACUGUAGUUUUGAGGAAAUUUCAACAUGUUGGUCAUUUCACAAGAAAUUGCAAGUAGUUUUGUUAGGUAAAUGUUGAUCAUUUGACAGAAGUUAGAUAGCAAUAUCUAUUCAGUAUUCAGUGUUGCACUAGAGAAGACAUUUAUGCUAUAAUAAAACAAUGUAAUUCUGAUAACCA